rnacentral:rRNA from 1 species
ACAUAGGGCCAAAAUACCCUGAAGGCACCAUAUCCUGUUUGAUCUUGGAAGCCAAGUAGGGUCAUUGCUGAUUAGUACUUAGAUGGGAGUUUACCAAAGAAUUCUAUGUGCUGUAGGCU